rnacentral:tRNA from 1 species
GCUCGAUCUUCGUCGGGCUCGCGGUCGGCAUCGGUCUCGGCCCGAUGGUCAUCCGGGAGCUGUCCCGGCGCCGCUGGUUCGGCAUGAGCAUCGUGCUC